rnacentral:lncRNA from 1 species
CUCUCUGAGUUUGAGGCCAGUCUGGUCUACCGAGUGAGUUCCAAGACAUCCAGGGCUUCACAGAGAAACCCUGUCUCAAAAAACCACCACCACCACCACCACCACCACCACCAAUAAUUAAUAAUAAUAAUAAUCCAAUCUGUUAUGAGUUUGGGGGCAAUCUCUGUUUUCUAUGUCUUCUUUCUGUUUGGUAAGUUUCCUUCUCUCAAGAAGGUGAGCACAGCUCCUACCUGGCAGGUGGUUAGAGACCCUGGCUUUAUGCACUUGUAGUUUGUGUGUUUGUAACAGAACAGCCACUCUGUCUGGAACACAUUAGGUCUCCUCACACUGCUAGUACCACUUGCUUCCCUGUUGGAACCAAAGAGGAACAGAAUGCAAGGCCGGACCUCCCUAUUUGUUGAAGAUUAGAAGUUUGUGUCCCUACAAAAUUCAUAUUUUAAAAUGCUUAUCCUGGGGCUAGAGAGAUAGGUUGGUGAUUAGGAGUCCAACUCCUCUUCCAGAGGGACCCAAGCUCUAUUUGUGGGCCCUUCGUUACGUGGCUCACAUUGUCUGUACUUCCAGCUCCUGGAGACCCUGUGCUCUCUUCUGGCCUCUAGAGGAACACAAGCCCACAUGUGUAAACCCAUAGGCAGACAAAUGAUUAAAAAUAAACAUUUAAAAAUUGCUAACCCCAAAUGUGAUGGUGUCAGAAGGUGGGGCCUUUGGGAGGUGACUGGGUUUUAACAUCUCCACACAUGGGCCUUAAUGAAUGUGAUCAGCACCCACUUAAAAAGAAAUCUGGAGCUGGCAAGAUGGCUCAGUGGGUAAAAGGUACUGGUCACAAAGCCUGAUGACUCGGUUCCUCCUGGGUUCCAUAUGGUGGAAAGUGAGAACCAACUCCUUCCUGCCAGUUGUCUUCUGACCUCUACACGUGCCGUAUCGUGCUUGUGUUCAAGGGCCUGUAUGUUCAGGGUAGGUCUUCCCAUGUCAGUUACACCUUUACUGACACACUUGAGGUAUGUCUCCUAGGUGACCUCAUAUCUAGGUGACAAUGAAGAUUUACCAUCACCAGGAGCUUAUGACCAGAUACAACCAGAGGGGUGUCCUCUGCCUUUGCCUCCUCCUCAGUGUCCAGUUCCCAUAUCUGAGUCCUGCAGGAGAUCGCCAUGAGCCCUAUGAUCACUUCUGCAGCUGCCAAGCCUAGGCUACAUGGAGCCUUCAUGUGAGUCACUGGCCAGCCACGAAUGAGGAGACAGAGUCUAAGGAUGAGAGCCUGCUUAAUUUUCUUGCCUCUAGGCUCAUAUCCUUCCCCUGCUCUGUGGACCUAAUAGUGCUGGGCAUGUGGCAGGACAACUCAUCCCUACGAUCAGCCCUUUGGGGAGUGUUUCUAAGGAAUCACCAAAUCUUAGAAGGACAACAUUUAUUGGGCCUGGCUUACAGGUCAGAGGUUUAGUCCAUUGUCAUUAAGGUAGGAGCAUGGCAGAGUCCAGGUAGGCGUGUUGCAGGAGAAGCUGAGAGUUCUACAUCUUCAUAUGAAGGCCACUAGGAGAAGACUGACUUCUAGGCAGCAAGAGUAAGGGUCUUAAAUCACAAGCCCACAGUGACACAAUUCCUCCAACAAGGCCACACCUAUUGUAACAAGGCUACACCUGCAAAUAGUGCCACUUCCUGGGCCAAGCAUAUUCAAACCACCACACUAAUUCUCUAGUGUCUAUAGCUAGAAGCUCAUCUUGUGGCAGAGGUGGACACACAGGUGGCUCUAUAUCUUUGAUCAUUAGCAAUGCUGUUGAUGGUCAAGGUACUAUGGAACACAAGGGGAAAAUAACUAACCCAUUCUGUGCAUGGGGGGUUGGCAGUCCUGGGCUACCAUGUUGCCAACGUCUCUCUCCAACUGGCAUUGAACAAAUAUUAGUGGACCGAGCCCUGGAGCCCAGCAGAAGGAAGAGAGAACAGAGCAGAGAAAUCCCUGUGUAGACACAACAGUGAAUCCUGACUGUGCUCCAGGACAAGGACAUGGAGGACAAAUGUGAGCACAUGACAUCAGAAACAUAUGCAGAGAGACAAAGUCUACACUCAAGCAAGGCCUGUCCUGAUCUCCCUUUUGCUGAUGACUGUGGCGUCCUGGCCAGUCCAGAAAUGCCUGGAAGGGUUCCUGGCUUGCUUCUGUGUGUGCCAUGCUGUGCGCCCAUGCAUGUGGUUUGUCAUAGGGAACGUUUCUUGGUGUUCUAUAGUAAGAUCUUCAACCCAAGCUCCAGCUGGGAGGAGCACCUUCGUCCACUGACUUUGAGAUGACUGCCUGGUCUGCUUAGCUAGCAGCACUCUGUGCCUUGCAAUCCCCACCAUGCAAGUCUGCUCCUUCCAGAGGUCUGCUGGCUUCCUCGGAUCUAAGGAAACCCCUCUUCCAGAAAGUGGUUUCUGACUCACAGGGGCACCUAGAGACAUGUGGAUUAAGAAGGCCUUCCAGGCCUCUGGCCAAAUUCUAAUGGUGAAAUUUGAAGCCGGGUCUUUGAAAUUCAGAAUAUCUCUUCCACACUGUGGAUCUGAUCACCACCCCCACCCAGAAGGCAGUAGGGUAGGAAGGACACAUCAUCCCUGCCACCACCAGCCAUCUGGAGACUGAGAUGGGAGGGCUGUGGCAGAGUAAUCUGUGACCAGGGCUUGGGGACUUGGUGUGGGGCCUGUAAUGCCUGGCUAGACUCCACCUCAUCAAGAAGAUUAAGGGUAAUUGAGUAGCGGCUCUCACAAGGCUACUUGAAAGUUGGAGGUUGGCCCAAAACCUGCCCACUAGGAUGCGCUCAUGCCAGGAUUGUGAGAGCUCCCAUCAAAAACCAGAAGAACAUCCAGGCCUCCUGUGGCUGGAGGAAACCUGUGGCAACCAGAUCAGGGCUCUUCUGACACAGAUAAGACACCUGAUGCUCAUUGGUCUGUGAGGGACACUUCACUAUAACUAUCCUCAUCUUUGCCAUCUCACAGGGGAAGAAAGUGAGGCCUCCAGAGGGAUCCCAGAAUCCCGGUGUCAGGGAAGACUAUUGAGGUCAAGUGCCAUAGCCCAAGUGACUCUGGGCAGAGUGCCCCUUGCUAAGCUCCGGGAACCACCCUCCUUAUUGAGUCAGACAGAGCCAAGAAUGAGAGCCUUGAGAUAGAGGGAUCAAGCCGAACUGCACACUAACCCUUUUCUUUCCAUCUUACAACACUGCUCUUGCAGGUACCUGCAGAAACCUGAAGGGGGCACUGGAUCUGGAGUUUCAUGAAGUUGUGAGCUGCCCAGCAUGGGUGCCAAUAACACUGGUCUUUAGUAGCAGGAACUGGCACACUUAAACAUGGAGCUGUCUCUCCAGCCCUGCACAUGGGGCCCGCUAACUUCUGACCUCUUAAACCUUCAUUGACUCCCACUACUUCCAGGACCCCCUGAGGACCUCCCUGCUGCCUUCUUCCCACAACACCAGUCUCCCUGUCAUAUCCCUGUCUCUUCUCUCCUGUGCCUCCCUGCCAUCCUCUAAAGCGCUUUCUACGAAGCCUUCCUGUGUUCAUUUUGUAACUGGGGCAGGUCAUAGAGACCGGUGUCAGUUUCUUAGCCUUCAUCUUCAUCAUUACAUCCUCUUGGUGAGAUAAAGGGAAAAAGAAAGGGAACCUUGUCUCUCUUCUGAGCUCUCAAAGCAAACUUGCUCCGGGUCCUGUGUUCUGUUAACCACAAGAAGAGCUCAUGGCACAUACUCUUCCUUUGAGCUGCCCCACUGGGGAUCCUGAACCUCAAGCCUCAGGGCCAGGACACUAGGGCUCUAUUUUCCACAACCUAGAAGGCUCAGACUCUUU